rnacentral:rRNA from 1 species
CACGUAGGGCGCAAGCGUUGUCCGGAAUUAUUGGGCGUAAAGAGCUCGUAGGCGGUCUGUUGCGUCCGCUGUGAAAACUCGGGGCUUAACCCCGAGCCUGCAGUGGAUACGGGCAGACUAGAGGUAGGUAGGGGAGAAUGGAAUUCCCGGUGUAGCGGUGAAAUGCGCAGAUAUCGGGAGGAACACCGGUGGCGAAGGCGGGUCUCUGGGCAGUAACUGACGCUGAGACGCGAAAGCGUGGGGAGCGAACAGG